rnacentral:rRNA from 1 species
GAUGAACGCUGGCGGCGUGCCUAAUACAUGCAAGUCGAGCGAACGGACGAGAAGCUUGCUUCUCUGAUGUUAGCGGCGGACGGGUGAGUAACACGUGGAUAACCUACCUAUAAGACUGGGAUAACUUCGGGAAACCGGAGCUAAUACCGGAUAAUAUUUUGAACCGCAUGGUUCAAAAGUGAAAGACGGUCUUGCUGUCACUUAUAGAUGGAUCCGCGCUGCAUUAGCUAGUUGGUAAGGUAACGGCUUACCAAGACAACGAUGCAUAGCCGACCUGAGAGGGUGAUCGGCCGCACUGGAACUGAGACACGGUCCAGACUCCUACGGGAGGCAGCAGUAGGGAAUCUUCCGCAAUGGGCGAAAGCCUGACGGAGCAACGCCGCGUGAGUGAUGAAGGUCUUCGGAUCGUAAAACUCUGUUAUUAGGGAAGAACAUAUGUGUAAGUAACUGUGCACAUCUUGACGGUACCUAAUCAGAAAGCCACGGCUAACUACGUG